UGGGGAAUAUUGGACAAUGGGGGCAACCCUGAUCCAGCCAUGCCGCGUGUGUGAAGAAGGCCUUCGGGUUGUAAAGCACUUUAAGUGGGGAGAAAGGUUCGGCAAUUAAUACCUGCCGGAAGUGAUGUUACCCACAGAAUAAGCACCGGCUAACUCUGUGCCAGCAGCCGCGGUAAUACAGAGGGUGCAAGCGUUAAUCGGAAUUACUGGGCGUAAAGCGCGCGUAGGCGGCUGUCUAAGUCGGGUGUGAAAGCCCCGGGCUCAACCUGGGAACUGCAUUCGAUACUGGACGGCUAGAGUAUGAGAGAGGGAGGUAGAAUUCCACGUGUAGCGGUGAAAUGCGUAGAUAUGUGGAGGAAUACCGGUGGCGAAGGCGGCCUCCUGGUUCAAUACUGACGCUGAGGUGCGAAAGCGUGGGGAGCAAACAGG
rnacentral:rRNA from 1 species